rnacentral:lncRNA from 1 species
ACCUCAAACAAAAUUCCUUUUGGUGUUAUUAUAAUGGAAUACAAAAACUCUAAACAACAGCUUUAAAGAAGAGCCACGAACCAAACCUCAAUUGACUAGUUCCAACAAAUAAACUGGAAUAUCAAAAACUCACCAAUAUAAAAUUGAUUCAAUCCGUUUAAGAGACAACGAAUCCAAUUUCUAGAUUUUUUUACUGUUGUCAGUGGUUUUGUUAUUGAAAAUUGUAGCAGACAUUGGCUCAUGGAGUUUUUUUGGUGAGACUCACCUAAAAACUCAGACGGAGGCAUGAAUUAGCGCUACUGGUUGCCAAUUUUGGUGGUGCUGGGGGAUUCGAGUGUUUGGACAUAAGUUUUGGUCGGGUUUUGGGAGGUGGUGGUCGGAUUUUGGAUGGGGUGGUAAUUACGAAGAGGGAUGGCUGAUUCCGGUGAGAAAUUCAUUGAAAAAACUCAAGACAAAUGACUGGGUCCUUCCGUUCACCGCUUUCCUCUCUUUACUUCACCUAUUUCUCUUUGGUUUCCAUUGUUCACUCCCCUUUUCUGAUUGCUCUCUCUUCAUUCUGUGUUUCUACAGGUUUUUGUGAGUUGUGUGAGUGAAACUAUAUGUGUAUGUGAG